rnacentral:rRNA from 1 species
UACGUAGGGGGCAAGCGUUGUCCGGAAUCAUUGGGCGUAAAGAGCGUGUAGGCGGCCCGGUAAGUCCGCUGUAAAAGUCAAAGGCUUAACCUUUGAAUGCCAGUGGAUACUGCCGGGCUAGAGUCCGGAAGAGGCGAGUGGAACUCCUGGUGUAGCGGUGGAAUGCGCAGAUAUCAGGAAGAACACCAACGGCGAAGGCAGCUCGCUAGGACGGUACUGACGCUGAGACGCGAAAGCGUGGGGAGCGAACAGG